rnacentral:lncRNA from 1 species
UUUUUGUUUUAUCAUUUGAUAUUUUUCAUGAAUUUUCAUUUGUUUUAUCAUUUGAUAUUUUUCAUUUGUUUUAUCAUUUGAUAUUUUUCAUGAAUUUUAUCAUUCUGACCUUGAUCUUCUCUAUUUUUGCUCAUAGCUUGUUGAUUAUUACAUUCUAUUUCAUUUAAUGCACUUUAUUUCUUCUUCUUCUUCUUCUUCUUUUUCUUUUUGAUCAAUGAGUUAAAGAUUGGUGGUUAGCAU